GCGGACGGGUGANUAAUGCUUGGGAACUUGCCUUUGCGAGGGGGAUAACAGUUGGAAACGACUGCUAAUACCGCAUAAUGUCUUCGGACCAAACGGGGCUUCNGCUCCGGCGCAAAGAGAGGCCCAAGUGAGAUUAGCUAGUUGGUAAGGUAACGGCUUACCAAGGCGACGAUCUCUAGCUGUUCUGAGAGGAAGAUCAGCCACACUGGGACUGAGACACGGCCCAGACUCCUACGGGAGGCAGCAGUGGGGAAUAUUGCACAAUGGGGGAAACCCUGAUGCAGCCAUGCCGCGUGUGUGAAGAAGGCCUUCGGGUUGUAAAGCACUUU
rnacentral:rRNA from 1 species